AUUGAACGCUGGCGGCGUGCUUUACACAUGCAAGUCGGACGAGUGGCGAACGGGUGAGUAACGCAUCGGAACGUACCGAGUAAUGGGGGAUAACUGUCCGAAAGGACAGCUAAUACCGCAUAUUAUUCGAGCGGCCGAUGUCUGAUUAGCUGGUUGGCGGGGUAACGGCCCACCAAGGCCACGAUCCGUAGCCGGGCUGAGAGGGUGAUCGGCCACACUGGGACUGAGACACGGCCCAGACUCCUACGGGAGGCAGCAGUGGGGAAUUUUGGACAAUGGGCGCAAGUCUGACCCAGCCACGCCGCGUGUCUGAAGAAGGCUUUCGGGUCGUAAAGGUCUUUUGUCAGGGAAGCGGUACCUGAAGAAUAAGCACCGGCUAACUACGUGCCAGCCGCCGCGGUAAUAC
rnacentral:rRNA from 1 species